AAACACCCUUCUCCCGACUGCACACGUCUGUGUUUCUUGUUACGUUUAGUCCUCCUGCUGUGGCUUUGCUCUGUUCGGAGAAUUUGUCAAGACAAUGAACUACUAGAGAUCAAGGACCUUGUCUCAUUGCCUUUCUGCCUCUGACAGAAACGAAGAUGAAUCAUCUGGAUGUUACAAAGAAAAUGGGACCAGUUCCGGGGAUGUCAGCAUUAACUAAGACCACCUCAUGAGCGUCAACUGUAGAGCCCUGCCCACAUGUUUGCAGUCAUUGCUGAGCACUGUCUGAGGAGUCCAACAGUGAUGAACAGCAGCUUCAAAAGGCCUCGACUCCACCACUGGUUUUUCUGUUUCAUGGCUCUCGCCAUAGUGAGCAGAUCAAGAGAGAACCAC